rnacentral:misc_RNA from 1 species
GUGAAUCAUCAAAUUUUUGAACGCACAUUGCACUCUCUGGUAUUCCGGAGAGUAUGCCUGUUUGAGGGUCAGUUUAAAUAAAAAUCGGUGUGGUUGCUGCCUUUCGUGGUGACGCACAGGAUGUGGGUCGUAUUGCCUUUGGUUAAGUGCCCUCAAAUUUUGCAUGAUUUUUUAGAACGUCUCUAACUGAUUUUAAGAAAGUUUGCGAUAUCGUAAACUAGGUGAGGUCAUCCUCAUCUCUCGCGAGUAUAA